CAUGCAAGUCGAACGAGAAAUCUUUAGCUUGCUAGAGAAAGUAAAGUGGCGCACGGGUGAGUAACGCGUGGGUAAUCUGCCUCCGAAUCGGGGAUAACAUUGCGAAAGCGAUGCUAAUACCGGAUAAAAUCUGGUUGGCUUCGGUGAACCGGAUCAAAGGUGGUCUCUUUAUAAAAGCUACCGUCUGGAGAUGAGCUCGCGUACCAUUAGCUAGUUGGUGAGGUAAAGGCUCACCAAGGCGACGAUGGUUAGCUGGUCUGAGAGGAUGAUCAGCCACACCGGGACUGGAACACGGUCCGGACUCCUACGGGAGGCAGCAGUGAGGAAUUUUGCGCAAUGGGGGAAACCCUGACGCAGCAACGCCGCGUGAGUGAUGAAGGCUUUCGGGUCGUAAAGCUCUGUCGGGUGGGAAGAACCCACCAAGUGUUAAGACCACUUGGUGCUGACGGUACCACCGAAGGAAGCACCGGCUAACUCCGUGCCAGCAGCCGCGGUAAUACGGGGGGUGCGAGCGUUAUUCGGAAUCAUUGGGCGUAAAGGGCGCGCAGGCGGUUUUGUAAGUCAGAUGUGAAAUCCCGGGGCUUAACCCCGGAAGUGCAUAUGAAACUAUGAGACUUGAGUAUGGGAGAGGGAAGCGGAAUUCCUGGUGUAGCGGUGAAAUGCGUAGAUAUCAGGAGGAACACCGGUGGCGAAGGCGGCUUCCUGGACCAAUACUGACGCUGAGGCGCGAAGGCGUGGGGAGCGAACAGGAUUAGAUACCCUGGUAGUCCACGCAGUAAAACGUUGAUCACUAGGUGUAGCGGGUAUUGACCCCU
rnacentral:rRNA from 1 species